GUGGGGACAAUGGAGGUGACACCAAGAUCUGAGGAUGGGGACAAUGGAGGUGACAGUGACCAAGAGCUGGGGAUGGGGACAACGGAGGUGACAUCAGCUGGGGAUGGGGACAACGGAGGUGAGAGUGACCAAGAUCUGAGGAUGGGGACAACGGAGGUGACAUCAGCUGGGGAUGGGGACAAUGGAGGUGACACUGCAUGGGGAUGGGGACCAUGGUGAUGCCAUCAGCUGGAGGUGGGGACAAUGGAGGUGACACCAAGAGCUGGGGAUGGGGACAAUGGAGGUGAUACUGAUCAAGAGCUGGGAAUGGGGACAACAGAGGUGACAUCAGCUGGGGAUGGGGACAAUGGAGAUGACACCAAGAGCUGGGGAUGGGGACAACAGAGGUGACACUGCAUGGGGAUGGGGACCAUGGUGAUGCCAUCAGCUGGAUGUGGGGACAAUGGAGGGUGACAUCAGCUGGGGGUGGGGACAACGGAGGUGACACCAAGAUCUGAGGAUGGGGACAACAGAAGUGACAGUGACCA